UGGGGAAUAUUGCACAAUGGGCGCAAGCCUGAUGCAGCAACGCCGCGUGAACGAUGAAGGUCUUCGGAUCGUAAAGUUCUGUUGCAGGGGAAGAUAAUGACGGUACCCUGUGAGGAAGCCCCGGCUAACUACGUGCCAGCAGCCGCGGUAAUACGUAGGGGGCUAGCGUUAUCCGGAUUUACUGGGCGUAAAGGGUGCGUAGGUGGUCUUUCAAGUCGGUGGUUAAAGGCUACGGCUCAACCGUAGUUAGCCUCCGAAACUGGAAGACUUGAGUGCAGGAGAGGAAAGUGGAAUUCCCAGUGUAGCGGUGAAAUGCGUAGAUAUUGGGAGGAACACAAGUAGCGAAGGCGGCUUUCUGGACUGCAACUGACACUGAGGAACGAAAGCGUGGGUAGCAAACAGG
rnacentral:rRNA from 1 species